rnacentral:rRNA from 1 species
AAAUAGCUUGCUAUUUUGCUGACGAGUGGCGCACGGGUGCGUAACGCGUAUACAAUCUACCUUUUGCUGAGGGAUAGCCCAGAGAAAUUUGGAUUAAUACCUCAUGGUAUUAUUGAUAGGCAUCUAUUAAUAAUUAAAGGUUACGGCAAAAGAUGAGUAUGCGUCCCAUUAGCUAGUUGGUGAAGUAACGGUUCACCAAGGCAAUGAUGGGUAGGGGUCCUGAGAGGGAGAUCCCCCACACUGGUACUGAGACACGGACCAGACUCC